GAUGAACGCUGGCGGCGUGCCUAAUACAUGCAAGUCGAGCGAACGGACGAGAAGCUUGCUUCUCUGAUGUUAGCGGCGGACGGGUGAGUAACACGUGGAUAACCUACCUAUAAGACUGGGAUAACUUCGGGAAACCGGAGCUAAUACCGGAUAAUAUUUUGAACCGCAUGGUUCAAAAGUGAAAGACGGUCCUGCUGUCACUUAUAGAUGGAUCCGCGCUGCAUUAGCUAGUUGGUAAGGUAUCGGCUUACCAAGGCAACGAUGCAUAGCCGACCUGAGAGGGUGAUCGGCCACACUGGAACUGAGACACGGUCCAGACUCCUACGGGAGGCAGCAGUAGGGAAUCUUCCGCAAUGGGCGAAAGCCUGACGGAGCAACGCCGCGUGAGUGAUGAAGGUCUUCGGAUCGUAAAACUCUGUUAUUAGGGAAGAACAUAUGUGUAAGUAACUGUGCACAUCUUGACGGUACCUAAUCAGAAAGCCACGGCUAACUACGUG
rnacentral:rRNA from 1 species